rnacentral:rRNA from 1 species
GACGAACGCUGGCGGCGUGCCUAACACAUGCAAGUCGAACGGAGAUGCCUUCGGUUAUCUUAGUGGCGAACGGGUGAGUAACGCGUGGGUAACCUGCCCUUUUAUCGGGGAUAACUUGCCGAAAGGUGAGCUAAUACCGGAUGUCCUAUUUUGAACUCCUGUUUGAGAUAGCGAAGGUGGCCUCUUAACAAUGCUACCGUAAAAGGAUGGACCCGCGUCUGAUUAGCUAGUUGGUGAGGUAAUGGCUCACCAAGGCGACGAUCAGUAGCCGGGCUGAGAGGAUGAACGGCCACACUGGGACUGAGACACGGCCCAGACUCCUACGAGAGGCAGCAGUGGGGAAUCUUCCGCAAUGGACGAAAGUCUGACGGAGCAACGCCGCGUGAGUGAUGAAGGUCUUCGGAUUGUAAAACUCUGUUUUUUGGGACGAACGGCUCAUAUGUGAAUAAUGUAUGAGAUUGACGGUACCAAAGGAGGAAGCCCCGGCUAACUACGUGCCAGCAGCCGCCGUAAAAC